rnacentral:rRNA from 1 species
CACGUAGGGCGCGAGCGUUGUCCGGAAUUAUUGGGCGUAAAGAGCUCGUAGGCGGCCUGUUGCGUCCGCUGUGAAAGCCCGGGGCUUAACCCCGGGUCGGCAGUGGAUACGGGCAGGCUAGAGGUAGGUAGGGGAGAAUGGAAUUCCCGGUGUAGCGGUGAAAUGCGUAGAUAUCGGAAGGAACAUCAGUGGCGAAGGCGGCUACCUGGACCAGCACUGACACUGAAGCACGAAAGCGUGGGGAGCAAACAGG